UCAAUCAGCCGGUCAGUAGGUUGGUCGGUUGGUCGGUCGGUCAGUUGGUUAGUCGGUUGGUCGGUUGGUUGGUCAGUCGGUUGGUAGGUUGGUC